ensembl:lncRNA NEAT1 nuclear paraspeckle assembly transcript 1
GCAAAAGUUGUGGCAAGUCCAGCCGGAGUUAGCGACAGGGAGGGAUGCGCGCCUGGGUGUAGUUGUGGGGGAGGAAGUGGCUAGCUCAGGGCUUCAGGGGACAGACAGGGAGAGAUGACUGAGUUAGAUGAGACGAGGGGGCGGGCUGGGGGUGCGAGAAGGAAGCUUGGCAAGGAGACUAGGUCUAGGGGGACCACAGUGGGGCAGGCUGCAUGGAAAAUAUCCGCAGGGUCCCCCAGGCAGAACAGCCACGCUCCAGGCCAGGCUGUCCCUACUGCCUGGUGGAGGGGGAACUUGACCUCUGGGAGGGCGCCGCUCUUGCAUAGCUGAGCGAGCCCGGGUGCGCUGGUCUGUGUGGAAGGAGGAAGGCAGGGAGAGGUAGAAGGGGUGGAGGAGUCAGGAGGAAUAGGCCGCAGCAGCCCUGGAAAUGAUCAGGAAGGCAGGCAGUGGGUGCAGGGCUGCAGGAGGGCCGGGAGGGCUAAUCUUCAACUUGUCCAUGCCAGCAGCCCCUUUUUUUCCAGACCAAGGGCUGUGAACCCGCCUGGGGAUGAGGCCUGGUCUUGUGGAACUGAACUUAGCUCGACGGGGCUGACCGCUCUGGCCCAGGGUGGUGGCAGUGCUCCUUUUGGACUUUUCUCUAGGUUUGGCGCUAAACUCUUCUUGUGAGCUCACUCCACCCCUUCUUCCUCCCUUUAACUUAUCCAUUCACUUAAAACAUUACCUGGUCAUCUGGUAAGCCCGGGACAGUAAGCCGAGUGGCUGUUGGAGUCGGUAUUGUUGGUAAUGGUGGAGGAAGAGAGGCCUUCCCGCUGAGGCUGGGGUGGGGCGGAUCGGUGUUGCUUGCCUGCAGAGAGGGUGGGGAGUGAAUGUGCACCCUUGGGUGGGCCUGCAGCCAUCCAGCUGAAAGUUACAAAAAUGCUUCAUGGACCGUGGUUUGUUACUAUAGUGUUCCUCAUGGCGAGCAGAUGGAACCGGGAGACAUGGAGUCCCUGGCCAGUGUGAGUCCUAGCAUUGCAGGAGGGGAGACCCUGGAGGAGAGAGCCCGCCUCAAUUGAUGCCUGCAGAUUGAAUUUCCAGAGGCUUAGGAGGAGGAAGUUCUCCAAUGUUCUGUUUCCAGGCCUUGCUCAGGAAGCCCUGUAUUCAGGAGGCUACCAUUUAAAGUUUGCAGAUGAGCUUAUGGGGGGCAAUCUUAAAAAGUCCACAGCAGAUGCAUCCGGCUCGAGGGGCCAUCAGCUUUGAAUAAAUGCUUGUUCCAGAGCCCAUGAAUGCCAGCAGGCACCCCUCCUUUCCUGGGGUAAAGGUUUUCAGAUGCUGCAUCUUCUAAAUUGAGCCUCCGGUCAUACUAGUUUUGUGCUUGGAACCUUGCUUCAAGAAGAUCCCUAAGCUGUAGAACAUUUUAACGUUGAUGCCACAACGCAGAUUGAUGCCUUGUAGAUGGAGCUUGCAGAUGGAGCCCCGUGACCUCUCACCUACCCACCUGUUUGCCUGCCUUCUUGUGCGUUUCUCGGAGAAGUUCUUAGCCUGAUGAAAUAACUUGGGGCGUUGAAGAGCUGUUUAAUUUUAAAUGCCUUAGACUGGGGAUAUAUUAGAGGAAGCAGAUUGUCAAAUUAAGGGUGUCAUUGUGUUGUGCUAAACGCUGGGAGGGUACAAGUUGGUCAUUCCUAAAUCUGUGUGUGAGAAAUGGCAGGUCUAGUUUGGGCAUUGUGAUUGCAUUGCAGAUUACUAGGAGAAGGGAAUGGUGGGUACACCGGUAGUGCUCUUUUGUUCUUGCUUCGUUUUUUUAAACUUGAACUUUACUUCGUUAGAUUUCAUAAUACUUUCUUGGCAUUCUAGUAAGAGGACCCUGAGGUGGGAGUUGUGGGGGACGGGGAGAAGGGGACAGCUUGGCACCGGUCCCGUGGGCGUUGCAGUGUGGGGGAUGGGGGUAUGCAGCUUGGCACUGGUACUGGGAGGGAUGAGGGUGAAGAAGGGGAGAGGGUUGGUUAGAGAUACAGUGUGGGUGGUGGGGGUGGUAGGAAAUGCAGGUUGAAGGGAAUUCUCUGGGGCUUUGGGGAAUUUAGUGCGUGGGUGAGCCAAGAAAAUACUAAUUAAUAAUAGUAAGUUGUUAGUGUUGGUUAAGUUGUUGCUUGGAAGUGAGAAGUUGCUUAGAAACUUUCCAAAGUGCUUAGAACUUUAAGUGCAAACAGACAAACUAACAAACAAAAAUUGUUUUGCUUUGCUACAAGGUGGGGAAGACUGAAGAAGUGUUAACUGAAAACAGGUGACACAGAGUCACCAGUUUUCCGAGAACCAAAGGGAGGGGUGUGUGAUGCCAUCUCACAGGCAGGGGAAAUGUCUUUACCAGCUUCCUCCUGGUGGCCAAGACAGCCUGUUUCAGAGGGUUGUUUUGUUUGGGGUGUGGGUGUUAUCAAGUGAAUUAGUCACUUGAAAGAUGGGCGUCAGACUUGCAUACGCAGCAGAUCAGCAUCCUUCGCUGCCCCUUAGCAACUUAGGUGGUUGAUUUGAAACUGUGAAGGUGUGAUUUUUUCAGGAGCUGGAAGUCUUAGAAAAGCCUUGUAAAUGCCUAUAUUGUGGGCUUUUAACGUAUUUAAGGGACCACUUAAGACGAGAUUAGAUGGGCUCUUCUGGAUUUGUUCCUCAUUUGUCACAGGUGUCUUGUGAUUGAAAAUCAUGAGCGAAGUGAAAUUGCAUUGAAUUUCAAGGGAAUUUAGUAUGUAAAUCGUGCCUUAGAAACACAUCUGUUGUCUUUUCUGUGUUUGGUCGAUAUUAAUAAUGGCAAAAUUUUUGCCUAUCUAGUAUCUUCAAAUUGUAGUCUUUGUAACAACCAAAUAACCUUUUGUGGUCACUGUAAAAUUAAUAUUUGGUAGACAGAAUCCAUGUACCUUUGCUAAGGUUAGAAUGAAUAAUUUAUUGUAUUUUUAAUUUGAAUGUUUGUGCUUUUUAAAUGAGCCAAGACUAGAGGGGAAACUAUCACCUAAAAUCAGUUUGGAAAACAAGACCUAAAAAGGGAAGGGGAUGGGGAUUGUGGGGAGAGAGUGGGCGAGGUGCCUUUACUACAUGUGUGAUCUGAAAACCCUGCUUGGUUCUGAGCUGCGUCUAUUGAAUUGGUAAAGUAAUACCAAUGGCUUUUUAUCAUUUCCUUCUUCCCUUUAAGUUUCACUUGAAAUUUUAAAAAUCAUGGUUAUUUUUAUCGUUGGGAUCUUUCUGUCUUCUGGGUUCCAUUUUUUAAAUGUUUAAAAAUAUGUUGACAUGGUAGUUCAGUUCUUAACCAAUGACUUGGGGAUGAUGCAAACAAUUACUGUCGUUGGGAUUUAGAGUGUAUUAGUCACGCAUGUAUGGGGAAGUAGUCUCGGGUAUGCUGUUGUGAAAUUGAAACUGUAAAAGUAGAUGGUUGAAAGUACUGGUAUGUUGCUCUGUAUGGUAAGAACUAAUUCUGUUACG